rnacentral:rRNA from 1 species
UACGAAGGGGGCUAGCGUUGUUCGGAAUUACUGGGCGUAAAGCGCACGUAGGCGGAUAUCUAAGUCAGGGGUGAAAUCCCGGGGCUCAACCCCGGAACUGCCUUUGAUACUGGGUAUCUGGAGUCCGGAAGAGGUGAGUGGAAUUCCGAGUGUAGAGGUGAAAUUCGUAGAUAUUCGGAGGAACACCAGUGGCGAAGGCGGCUCACUGGUCCGGUACUGACGCUGAGGUGCGAAAGCGUGGGGAGCAAACAGG